rnacentral:rRNA from 1 species
UAACCUGCCCAAGAGAUCGGGAUAACACCUGGAAACAGAUGCUAAUACCGGAUAACAACAGAUGAUGCCUAUCAACUGUUUAAAAGAUGGUUCUGCUAUCACUCUUGGAUGGACCUGCGGUGCAUUAGCUAGUUGGUAGGGUAACGGCCUACCAAGGCGAUGAUGCAUAGCCGAGUUGAGAGGCUGAUCGGCCACAUUGGGACUGAGACACGGCCCAAACUCCUACGGGAGGCAGCAGGG